UGGGGAAUAUUGGGCAAUGGGCGGAAGCCUGACCCAGCAACGCCGCGUGAAGGAAGAAGGCUUUCGGGUUGUAAACUUCUUUUCUCAGGGACGAAUAGAUGACGGUACCUGAGGAAUAAGCCACGGCUAACUACGUGCCAGCAGCCGCGGUAAUACGUAGGUGGCAAGCGUUAUCCGGAUUUACUGGGUGUAAAGGGCGUGUAGGCGGGACUGCAAGUCAGAUGUGAAAACCACGGGCUCAACCUGUGGCCUGCUUUGAAACUGUAGUUCUUGAGUACUGGAGAGGCAGACGGAAUUCCUAGUGUAGCGGUGAAAUGCGUAGAUAUUAGGAGGAACACCAGUGGCGAAGGCGGUCUGCUGGACAGCAACUGACGCUGAGGCGCGAAAGCGUGGGGAGCAAACAGGAUUAGAUACCC
rnacentral:rRNA from 1 species